rnacentral:rRNA from 1 species
GACGAACGCUGGCGGCGUGCUUAACACAUGCAAGUCGAACGAUGAAGCAAAGAAUUGAAGCUUCGGCAGAAAUUCAUUUCGGAUUAGUGGCAGACGGGUGAGUAACGCGUGAGCAACCUACCUCUUACAAAGGGAUAGCCUCGGGAAACCGGGAUUAAUACCAUAUAACAUUUCGACAACGCAUUUCGAUUCAAUCAAAGCUACGGCGGUAAGAGAUGGGCUCGCGUCCCAUUAACCAGAUGGUGAGGUAACGGCUCACCAUAGUAACGAUGGGUAACCGGGCUGAGAGGGUGAACGGUCACACUGGAACGGAGACACGGUCCAGACUCCUACGGGAGGCAGCAGUGGGGAAUAUUGCACAAUGGAGGGAACGCUGAUGCAGCGACGCCGCGUGAGUGAUGAAGGAAUUCGUUUCGUAAAACUCUGUUCUAUGGGAAGAAAAGGACUGUACCAUAGGAGAAAGCUCCGGCUAAAUACGUG